rnacentral:rRNA from 1 species
UGGGGAAUAUUGCACAAUGGGCGCAAGCCUGAUGCAGCCAUGCCGCGUGUGUGAAGAAGGCCUUCGGGUUGUAAAGCACUUUCAGCGAGGAGGAAGGUGGUGAACUUAAUACGUUCAUCAAUUGACGUUACUCGCAGAAGAAGCACCGGCUAACUCCGUGCCAGCAGCCGCGGUAAUACGGAGGGUGCAAGCGUUAAUCGGAAUUACUGGGCGUAAAGCGCACGCAGGCGGUUUGUUAAGUCAGAUGUGAAAUCCCCGGGCUCAACCUGGGAACUGCAUUUGAAACCGGCAAGCUAGAGUCUCGUAGAGGGGGGUAGAAUUCCAGGUGUAGCGGUGAAAUGCGUAGAGAUCUGGAGGAAUACCGGUGGCGAAGGCGGCCCCCCUGGACGAAGACUGACGCUCAGGUGCGAAAGCGUGGGGAGCAAACAGGAUUAGAUACCCCUGGUAGUCCACGCUGUAAACGAUGUCGAUUUUGGAGGUUGUGCCCUUGAGGCGUGGCUUCCGGAGCU